GAGACAGACAUAACGUGAAGCAGUGCGCGCCCCCUAGUGGGGCGGAUGGAGAACUGCGCUACAAUUUACAACAUAAAGUCCGCGUUGUAGGCUUAAACAGACUUAAAAUGAUUAUUUUUAUAGUUUAAUGUCGUAUUACAAGCACAAUAAUUAAUUCUGACUGCAUUGUCUAAUUAUUAUACUCAAGAAAACGUGACUAAUCAACUCGUGUAUGGGUGAUCUUCAGCUCCGGCUUGUGGUCAAUAGGUGUAUCCGCAUUAAGGAAGUAAACACAAGGUGGACGCGCAGUCAGUCGUGUGAACAGCGAAGAGAGAUUUAAGAGAUUUUAAAUAUACUCGAGUAUAUAAAAUAUACUCAUUUAUUAUUGAGAGUGUAUCGACCGGCAGAAGAUCGAGAUCAGCUUUAAACUGAUGGAUUAAAAGAGCUGAACUGAGAAGCUCAUGGAAACACACUCAGGAAUGAAUGGGCAAUCCUCCGAGACUCUGGAUUUCAGCAGCUUUUAUUUCAAUACUGCUGGAAUCUGCAAACUAAUCUAGUAGGACUUCAGGUUUACCAUCCAGUUACCACCAAUACAAUAUUGCAAGUUCAGUGAUGAAGAAGAUGUAAAGCUCUGGGUCUAUGGAUGGUUCUAGAUGGAUGAAUCAACAAUGACAAACACUCCUCUUCCAACACAGGUUGAACCACAGCCAAACUUCAGAGGGUCUGAUCAUUCAUCAUGCACUUAUAGUAAAGCUUGAUUGGUUAUUUGGGCAGAUUUGAAUGAAUGAUGAUUCAUUUCUGUGUGAGCUGAUGACUAAAUACAGUUUACUGAAUCAAAGACAGAUACACAAGGUCAGAUCAGUGCGUUACAAUUUAGUUAUUUAGUUCACAACAUCUUACCUGUCCAUGAGUGAGUGGAUAUCCUGCAUGACAGGGACUGUCUAGUCUAUUCACACGUCCCACAGCUCUGAUUUUAUUGACUGUAUGACCCAAACACAGACUUUAUUUUGUAGGAAACACAACAACUAACUUCAUUUUAUGUAGUAUAUAUAAAUAUACAUAUCAGUAUUUUAAAGUUAGCUGAAGUCUAAAGUUAGUUUUUCUUUGUUGCAGAAAAUAAGUCAUUUAUAAUGAGAGGUGCUUAUCACUUUAAGACAACACAACACAAAACUUCAGAAAAUGUAAGACAUUAAUAUCUGGUGGAAUAAACCUGAUAAUCAAUCAAGACAACUGAAAACAUCUAUAAUUUUCACUAAUUAACAAUAACAAUAGUAAUAUACCAUAUUAGUGUGCCGCUCACGCCGCCUUGUGGAGCUGAUGGAGAACUUUAAGCUUUUGACUGUCAUAAAUGAGUGAACUAUACAUUAAUAUUUAAAAAUUGGCGAAAUAACCUGAUUAUUUAUAAAUAAUUUAUUUUAGAGCUUCAUUUUAUUUUCAUGUCUUGGCUAACGUUCACUUAUUUUUGUUGUGGAAUCACUGUUGGUUUUUAAAGCAUUUAACAUUUGACUGAUCACUGAGUGCAUACGGCAUGUUUAAACAAAUAAAGUAUGUAUUAUAUAAUGACUAA